GCGGCCGAAACAGAAGCACACAAAGACAUUCGACGCGGGGACGACAGAGCGCACGCGCGAACCGCCGCCGGACCACGGCGACGAGCUCGGAUCCCGGCGAUCUAGUCGCCGGAGGUGGUCCCGAUGGCUCGGCGGUCGUCUUCCUCGUCGUCGGGGGCCUGGCGGUACCUGAACCCGGCGUACUACCUCAAGCGGCCCAAGCGCCUCGCGCUCCUCUUCUUCAUCUUCGUCGCGGCCACCUUCGCCUUCUGGGACCGCCAGUCGCUCGUCAGCGAGUACGAGUCUGAGAUUUCUCGAUUAGAAGAUGAUAUAAAUCGGUUGCAUGACCAGCUAAGAAGGGCUGGAGUUCAUCUGGAUGAAAAUCCAGUAAUAAGCAACAAGAAUUCCAGAAAAAAUCCUGUAGAAAUUGAUCAUGUCAAUAAUGAAAGGCGGGAAAAAGUUAAAGAGGCAAUGCUCCAUGCUUGGAAUUCUUAUGUGAAGUACGCCUGGGGAAUGGAUGAGCUUCAGCCACAAUCGAAGGAUGGCAUCAAUAGUUUUGGUGGUCUUGGAGCAACCCUUGUUGACUCACUUGAUACACUGUAUAUAAUGGGCCUGAAAGAUGAAUUUCAGAAAGCUAGAGACUGGGUGGCAGAGUCAUUAGACUUUGACAAGGAUUAUGAUGCGAGUGUUUUUGAAACGACCAUAAGGUUGCAUUAUAAGGGUUGUUGGAGGUUUGCUUAGUGCAUAUGAUCUAUCUGGUGAUAAAGUAUUUCUUGAUAAGGCUAAAGAUAUUACAGAUCGUCUAUUACCUGCUUGGGAUACAACAUCUGGCAUCCCCUAUAAUAGAAUAAACCUAGCUCAUGGACGAGCCCAUAAUCCUGGAUGGACCAACGGUGACAGUAUCCUUGCAGAUUCUGGUACGGAGCAACUUGAAUUCAUAGCUCUGUCACAGAGGACUGGGGAUCCCAAAUACCAGCAGAAGGCAGAGAACGUCAUCACACAGCUUCAGAAGAUAUAUCCCAGUGAUGGUUUGCUUCCUAUUUACAUAAAUCCUCAUUCUGGGACAGCAUCGUACUCCACUAUCACGUUUGGUGCUAUGGGAGAUAGCUUCUAUGAAUAUUUGCUCAAGGUCUGGAUCCAGGGGAAUAAAACUGAGCAUGUAAAACACUACAGACAAAUGUGGGAGACAUCAAUGGAAGGUCUAUUAAGUUUAACAAAGAAAACUACACCAUCUAAUUACUACUACAUUUGUGAAAAGAAUGGUGGCUCAUUGUCUGACAAGAUGGAUGAACUUGCUUGCUUUGCCCCUGGUAUGCUGGCAUUAGGAGCCUCUGGUUAUGGGCCAGAAAAAUCAGAGCAAAUUAUGAAUAUGGCAAAAGAGGUAAAUCCUUGUGGCAAUCCUCCUGUUUAUCGAAGAUUUCAAGUCUUUGCAUGACACACUUGAUGGGCAAGUGGUACCCAAGAAAGACACUUUUCGUUACUUAGGAUCAAUGCUUCAAAAGGAGGGAGACAUCGAUGAGGAUGUCAGUCAUAGAAUUAAAGCCGGAUGGUUGAAGUGGCGACAAGCUGCGGGUGUCUUAUGCGACCACCGGGUGCCACGCAAACUAAAAGGCAAAUUCUACAGGACAGCAAUCCGGCCGGCUAUGUUGUAUGGAGCAGAAUGUUGGCCCACUAAAAGACGACAUGUCCAACAACUAAGUGUGGCAGAGAUGCGUAUGUUGCGCUGGAUAUGUGGCCACACAAGGAGAGAUCGAGUCCGGAAUGAUGAUAUACGAGAGAGAGUAGGAGUGGCGCCAAUUGAGGAGAAGCUUAUGCAACAUCGCUUGAGAUGGUUUGGACAUAUCCAACGAAGACCUGAAGAGGCACCAGUGCAUAUCGGAAUAAUUAGGCGUCCCGAAAAUGUGAAGAGAGGUAGAGGCCGACCAACUUUGACGUGGACAGAGGCUGUGAAGAGAGACCUGAAGGAGUGGAAUAUUGAUAAAGAGCUCGCCGCAGAUAGGAAGGGGUGGAAGUGUGCAAUUCACGUGCCAGAACCCUGAUUGAUAGUUUCGCUUUUCCUCCUUAAUCGUUUGACCUUUUCUUGUGUCCAUUUUAGAUCUUGCUGGUCCUUGUGGGUUUUAUCUCUUUUAUGUGUUUCCCCGUUUCGUUGUUUUCGGUUCUCCUUUGCCUUUGUUUCCCUUUUCUGUUCUUUGGGGGUUGAGCUCUGAGGUUUUCAUACGGGGUUUCAUCUCUAGCCUACCCCAACGUGCUUGGGACAAAAAGGCUUUGUUGUUGUUGUUGUUGUUGUUGUUGCAUGACACACUUGAGAAUGAAUGUGUUUCUUUCUGUUUGCUGGUAUGACUUUUUCCCUUUUCCAUUCAUGUCAUAGCUUGCUAGGACCUGCUAUAAUUUCUACCAAACCACUCCCACGAAGUUGGCUGGCGAAAAUUAUUUUUUCCAUGCUGGACAGGACAUGAGUGUGGGCACAUCGUGGAACAUCUUGAGACCGGAGACUGUUGAAUCACUUAUGUACCUAUGGCGCUUGACGGGGAAUACAACAUACCAAGAUUGGGGGUGGGACAUAUUCCAGGCAUUUGAGAAGAACUCCCGUGUAGAAUCUGGAUAUGUGGGACUGAGAGAUGUGAACACUGGUGAAAAGGAUAACAUGAUGCAGAGCUUCUUCCUGGCAGAGACGCUCAAGUACCUCUACCUACUUUUCUCCCCUCCAUCAGUCAUAUCCUUUGACGAGUGGGUUUUCAAUACUGAAGCUCACCCAUUGAGAAUUGCUCCAGUAAAUUAUAACAAAAGCAUUGGAACACCGGUCCGUCCAUUCGGGAGAAAACAGGGAAAGCCUGAGUAACCUUGGAUAUAGAGCAGUGGAUUUUUUUUUUAAUCCGACGUCUGACUCUGGCCUCCCUGAUGAAGAUGUGUUCUGACACGAGGGAACUUUCUGCCUGAAGCAGCAAGGGUUAGAAAUCACGGCAAUAGAUUGUUUAGAGAGAAAAAUCAUAGGUAGAUCAUGAUGCUAUAUGCGAGGCAGUGACCUCCAUGGGUGGUAUGGUCGGAGCUCAAGAGCCCCCAUAGAAGCUUUUAUCUUUGGACUUGCUUACGCCCCCUGAUGUGCGUUGUUGAUGUGUAGCAUACAUCUAACUCACUGUUCAUAUGUUGUUGCUUUCCUGGGACCUCUGCGGAGCUGUAUUGUCAUUAUUUGGCCCAUAGUUAUUACUUUUUUUCAGAUAUGAUUUAUAUAUAUAUAAGUUGUUUAUGGCUUUCGUUAA